UGGCAGCCAUAUCAGCUUGAAAUAACGGUUCCCGUAUGAUCACCGAAGUUAAGCAACGUCGAUCCUGGUCAGUACCUAGAUGGGUAACCGCUUGGGAGUACCAGGUAAUGA